CCUACGGGCGGCAGCAGUGAGGAAUAUUGGUCAAUGGGCGCAGGCCUGAACCAGCCAAGUCGCGUGAGGGAAGACUGCCCUAUGGGUUGUAAACCUCUUUUAUAAGGGAAGAAUAAUGACUAUGUGUAGUCAGAUGCCCAUACCUUAUGAAUAAGCAUCGGCUAACUCCGUGCCAGCAGCCGCGGUAAUACGGAGGAUGCGAGCGUUAUCCGGAUUUAUUGGGUUUAAAGGGAGCGUAGGCGGGUUGUUAAGUCAGUUGUGAAAGUUUGCGGCUCAACCGUAAAAUUGCAGUUGAUACUGGCAUCCUUGAGUACAGUAGAGGUAGGCGGAAUUCGUGGUGUAGCGGUGAAAUGCUUAGAUAUCACGAAGAACUCCGAUUGCGAAGGCAGCCUGCUGGACUGUAACUGACGCUGAUGCUCGAAAGUGUGGGUAUCAAACAGGAUUAGAUACCCCGGUAGUC
rnacentral:rRNA from 1 species